AUUGAACGCUGGCGGCAUGCUUUACGCAUGCAAGUCGAACGGUAACAGCACUUCGGUGGCUGACGAGUGGCGAACGGGUGGGUAAUACAUCGGAACGUGCCUAGUAGUGGGGGAUAACUACUCGAAAGAGUAGCUAAUACCGCAUGAGAUCUAAGGAUGAAAGCAGGGGACCUUCGGGCCUUGCGCUACUAGAGCGGCUGAUGGCAGAUUAGGUGGUUGGUGGGAUAAAAGCUUACCAAGCCGACGAUCUGUAGCUGGUCUGAGAGGACGACCAGCCACACUGGGACGGAGACACGGCCCAGACUCCUGCGGGAGGCAGCAGUGGGGAAUUUUGGACAAUGGGCGCAAGCCUGAUCCAGCAAUGCCGCGUGCAGGAUGAAGGCCUUCGGGUUGUAAACUGCUUUUGUACGGAACGAAAAGCCCUCUUCUAAUACAGGGGGGUCAUGACGGUACCGUAAGAAUAAGCACCGGCUAACUACGUG
rnacentral:rRNA from 1 species